GAGCUCUUGGCUGUGAGAACUGAAUUCCAUAGAUGGUGACCCACUGAGUAGCCCAUCUAUGGCUUCAGUUCUUGUAGUCUGAGGCUCAAAGUCGGC
ensembl:miRNA mir146a microRNA 146a